ACCGUGUGCCUACAACAAGUUCGAGCCCGUUAAUGGGUGAGAGCGUGCCUUUUGUAGAAUGAACCGGCGAGUUACGUUAUGAUGCGAGGUUAAGUUGAAGAGACGGAGCCGUAGGGAAACCGAGUCUGAAUAGGGCGCCUUAGUAUCAUGACGUAGACCCGAAACCAUGUGACCUACCCAUGAGCAGGUUGAAGGUGCGGUAAGACGCACUGGAGGACCGAACCAGGGCACGUUGAAAAGUGCUUGGAUGACUUGUGGGUAGCGGAGAAAUUCCAAACGAACUUGGAGAUAGCUGGUUCUCUCCGAAAUAGCUUUAGGGCUAGCGUCGACAUUAGAGAUUCUUGGAGGUAGAGCACUGUUUGGGUGAGGGGUCCAUCCCGGAUUACCAAUCUCAGAUAAACUCCGAAUGCCAAUGAAUUAUGGUCGGCAGUCAGACUGCGAGUGCUAAGAUCCGUAGUCGAAAGGGAAACAGCCCAGACCACCAGCUAAGGUCCCAAAAUAAUUGUUAAGUGGAAAAGGAUGUGGGGUUGCACAGACAACUAGGAUGUUAGCUUAGAAGCAGCUAUUCAUUCAAAGAGUGCGUAAUAGCUCACUAGUCGAGUGACCCUGCGCCGAAAAUGUACCGGGGCUAAAACAAUUUACCGAAGCUGUGGAUACCUUUAUAGGUAUGGUAGGAGAGCGUUCUAUGUGUGAUGAAGGUAUACCGUGAGGAGUGCUGGAACGCAUAGAAGUGAGAAUGCCGGUAUGAGUAGCGAAAGACAGGUGAGAAUCCUGUCCACCGUAAGACUAAGGUUUCCAGGGGAAGGCUCGUCCGCCCUGGGUUAGUCGGGACCUAAGGAGAGACCGAAAGGUGUAUCCGAUGGACAACAGGUUGAUAUUCCUGUACUAGAGUAUGUAGUGAUGGAGGGACGCAGUAGGCUAACUAAAGCAGACGAUUGGAAGAGUCUGUCUAAGCAGUGAGGUGUGAAUUGAGUCAAAUGCUUAAUUCUAUAACAUUGAGCUGUGAUGGGGAGCGAAGUUUAGUAGCGAAGUUAGUGACGUCACACUGCCAAGAAAAGCUUCUAGCGUUUAAACAUACUCUACCCGUACCGCAAACCGACACAGGUAGUCGAGGCGAGUAGCCUCAGGUGAGCGAGAGAACUCUCGUUAAGGAACUCGGCAAAAUGACCCCGUAACUUCGGGAGAAGGGGUGCUGACUUUAAGUCAGCCGCAGUGAAUAGGCCCAAGCAACUGUUUAUCAAAAACACAGCUCUCUGCUAAAUCGUAAGAUGAUGUAUAGGGGGUGACGCCUGCCCGGUGCUGGAAGGUUAAGAGGAGUGCUUAGCGUAAGCGAAGGUAUGAAUUGAAGCCCCAGUAAACGGCGGCCGUAACUAUAACGGUCCUAAGGUAGCGAAAUUCCUUGUCGGGUAAGUUCCGACCCGCACGAAAGGCGUAAUGAUUUGGGCACUGUCUCAACGAGAGACUCGGUGAAAUUUUAGUACCUGUGAAGAUGCAGGUUACCCGCGACAGGACGGAAAGACCCCAUGGAGCUUUACUGCAGUUUGAUAUUGAGUGUCUGUACCACAUGUACAGGAUAGGUAGGAGUCUAAGAGAUCGGGACGCCAGUUUCGAAGGAGACGCUGUUGGGAUACUACCCUUGUGUUAUGGCCACUCUAACCCAGAUAGGUGAUCCCUAUCGGAGACAGUGUCUGACGGGCAGUUUGACUGGGGCGGUCGCCUCCUAAAAGGUAACGGAGGCGCCCAAAGGUUCCCUCAGAAUGGUUGGAAAUCAUUCGCAGAGUGUAAAGGUAUAAGGGAGCUUGACUGCGAGAGCUACAACUCGAGCAGGGACGAAAGUCGGGCUUAGUGAUCCGGUGGUUCCGUAUGGAAGGGCCAUCGCUCAACGGAUAAAAGCUACCCUGGGGAUAACAGGCUUAUCUCCCCCAAGAGUUCACAUCGACGGGGAGGUUUGGCACCUCGAUGUCGGCUCGUCGCAUCCUGGGGCUGUAGUCGGUCCCAAGGGUUGGGCUGUUCGCCCAUUAAAGCGGCACGCGAGCUGGGUUCAGAACGUCGUGAGACAGUUCGGUCCCUAUCCGUCGCGGGCGUAGGAAAUUUGAGAGGAUCUGCUCCUAGUACGAGAGGACCAGAGUGGACUUACCGCUGGUGUACCAGUUGUCUUGCCAAAGGCAUCGCUGGGUAGCUAUGUAGGGAAGGGAUAAACGCUGAAAGCAUCUAAGUGUGAAACCCACCUCAAGAUGAGAUUUCCCAUGAUUAUAUAUCAGUAAGAGCCCUGAGAGAUGAUCAGGUAGAUAGGUUAGAAGUGGAAGUGUGGCGACACAUGUAGCGGACUAAUACUAAUAGCUCGAGGACUUAUCCAA
rnacentral:rRNA from 1 species